rnacentral:lncRNA from 10 species
CAUCAUGGAGACAGUUUACCUCUGCCCAUAAUGCCUGAGGCGCCGGCUGGAAGAUUAAGGCUGGGGUGACUUGACGGUGGUGGCAGGAACCCUCUGGUGGGCAUCCUCACGUGCAGGUCUGAGGCCGACACGGGCUGCCACCUGGGACACUGACCCAUCUGCUCCACUCCACGUGGUCUGUGAGUUCUUUUUAGCACAGCAACUGGGUUCUAAGAGUGGAUGUCGCAGGAGAGCAAGGCAGUCACAAAAGUCUAUGAAUCAGAGAUGUGGGGUGGAGUUGGGCUCAGAUUGAGCACUGAGUGAAAAAGCUUCACUGCAAACAGGGAUACCCCCAGAACAAAGUCCAGGCUUUGUGGGGAGGAGAAAUGAAGCAGAUCUGCUAAAGCCAAAAGAUGGAGAACUGCUUCUGUCUGUGAGUGGGGUGGGUUGGCCAGCAAUACCUGGGCUUCACAGGUCAGUAUGGGGCUGGCUGAAGGCACCCACCUGGUGUUUAGGGGGCCCAGGGGCCUCCAUAGAGCAAGAUAAGUGCCACGUUAGCACACCAGGGUCACCAGGCAGCCAGGACAGGUGACUAUCUCAGGGUCUGAUGGAAGCUCAAAGUCCAGAUGCUCUGCUCAGCCCACUCCCGGGCUCCACACUGG